rnacentral:rRNA from 1 species
AGAGUUUGAUCCUGGCUCAGAUUGAACGCUGGCGGCGUGCCUAACACAUGCAAGUCGAGCGGUAACAGGUGUAGCAAUACAUGCUGACGAGCGGCGAACGGGUGAGUAAUGCAUUGGAAUCUUCCCAGUAGUGGGGAAUAACCAGUCGAAAGAUUGGCUAAUACCGCAUACGUCUGCGAAGAGAAAGCGGGGGAUCGUAA